UCCCUGGUGGCUCAGACGGUAAAGCAUCUGCCUGCAAUGUGGGAGACCUGGGUUCGAUUCCUGGGUCGGGAA
rnacentral:tRNA from 1 species